rnacentral:rRNA from 1 species
AAAUAGCUGCAGUAUUUUGACUGUGCAAAGGUAGCAUAAUAAUUAGUCUUUUAAUUGAGGACUUGUAUGAAAGAUUUGAUGAAAAAUAAACUUUAUUAUUUAUAUAAUUAAAAUUUUAUUUUUAAGUAAAAAAGCUUAAAUUAAUUAAAGGGACGAUAAGACCCUAUAAAACUUUAUAAAUAUUAAUUUUAAUUUUUUUUUGGAUUUAUAAAUAUUUUAAUUUUAUUAUUUAUUUUAUUGGGGUGAUAAAAAAAAUUAUUAAACUUUUUUUAAAAUUUUACAUUAUUUAGUGAAUAUUUGAAUUAAAAUUUUUGAUUAAAGGAAAAAGUUACUUUAGGGAUAACAGCGUAAUUAAUUUUUUAAGUUCAAAUUUAAAAAUUAGUUUGCGACCUCGAUGUUGAAUUAAGAUUAAUCUUAGGUGCAAAAUUUUAAGUAUUAGGUCUGUUCGACCUUUAAAUUCUUACGUGA